AACGAACGCUGGCGGCAGGCUUAACACAUGCAAGUCGAGCGCCCCGCAAGGGGAGCGGCAGACGGGUGAGUAACGCGUGGGAAUCUACCCAUCUCUACGGAAUAACGCAUGGAAACGUGUGCUAAUACCGUAUACGUCCUUCGGGAGAAAGAUUUAUCGGAGAUGGAUAAGCCCGCGUUGGAUUAGCUAGUUGGUGGGGUAAAGGCCUACCAAGGCGACGAUCCAUAGCUGGUCUGAGAGGAUGAUCAGCCACACUGGGACUGAGACACGGCCCAGACUCCUACGGGAGGCAGCAGUUGGGAAUAUUGGACAAUGGGCGCAAGCCUGAUCCAGCCAUGCCGCGUGAGUGAUGAAGGCCCUAGGGUUGUAAAGCUCUUUCACCGGUGAAGAUAAUGACGGUAACCGGAGAAGAAGCCCCGGCUAACUUCGUGCCAGCCGCCGCAGUAACAC
rnacentral:rRNA from 1 species